GACGAACGCUGGCGGCGUGCUUAACACAUGCCAGUCGAACGGAAAGGCCCUGCUUUUGUGGGGUGCUCGAGUGGCGAACGGGUAAGUAACACGUGAGUAACCUGCCCUUGACUUUGGGAUAACUUCAGGAAACUGGGGCUAAUACCGGAUAGGAGCUCCUGCUGCAUGGUGGGGGUUGGAAAGUUUCGGCGGUUGGGGAUGGACUCGCGGCUUAUCAGCUUGUUGGUGGGGUAGUGGCUUACCAAGGCUUUGACGGGUAGCCGGCCUGAGAGGGUGACCGGCCACAUUGGGACUGAGAUACGGCCCAGACUCCUACGGGAGGCAGCAGUGGGGAAUAUUGCACAAUGGGCGGAAGCCUGAUGCAGCAACGCCGCGUGCGGGAUGACGGCCUUCGGGUUGUAAACCGCUUUCGCCUGUGACGAAGCGUGAGUGACGGUAAUGGGUAAAGAAGCACCGGCUAACUACGUG
rnacentral:rRNA from 1 species